rnacentral:lncRNA from 1 species
UUUGCAAGCACAGUCUUCAGCUUCUCACCAGAUUAUUUACUGAGGUAUUAAAGGAUAUUGUUUCAGUUUCCCUGAAUGAGAAAAGAGAAACGAUCUUAAUAGUUGAUCUGUGUUGUAGCUCACAGCUGUGCCACUGGACUGGAUUGAGAUUGGGGAGUGGAGGAGGGGAGCAGAGGAGAUCGAUGCAAGAGAUAAAGAAAAGACAGGAGCAGGAAGGUGAAAACAACAAAGGGAAUCGGAAUAGAUGUAUUUGGGUUAAGAUGAACAAGGAUAAGGAAUUUACCACAGAUUUUUCUCUCAAUUCUUACGUCUUCACAAAGUUGGGUGAAGGGAACUGCAGCACACAGCUUUGA